AUACGUAGGUGGCAAGCGUUACUCGGAAUCACUAGGCGUAAAGCGCAGGUAGGCGGUUCGAUAAGUCUUUUGUGAAAGCUCCUGGCUCAACUGGGAGAGGCCAAGGGAAACUGUCGGACUAGAGUGUGGUAGAGGGUGCUGGAAUUCCCGGUGUAGCGGUGAAAUGCGUAGAGAUCGGGAGGAAUACCUAUGGCGAAAGCAGGCACCUGGGCCAUCACUGACGCUGAGCUGCGAAAGCUAGGGGAGCAAACAGGAUUAGAUACCCUGGUAGUCCUAGCCCUAAACGAUGCUCAUUAGAUGUGGGGGGUAUCGACCCCUUCCGCGUCGUAGCUAACGCAUUAAAUGAGCCGCCUGGGGAGUACGGCCGCAAGGUUGAA
rnacentral:rRNA from 1 species